GCCUGGGUGGCUCAGUCAGUUAGGCGUCUGCCUUCGGCUCAGGUUAUGAUCCAGGGGUCCUGGGAUCGAGUCCCAACUCAGGCU
rnacentral:tRNA from 1 species